AUUGAACGCUGGCGGCAUGCCUUACACAUGCAAGUCGAACGGCAGCACGGGAGCAAUCCUGGUGGCGAGUGGCGAACGGGUGAGUAAAGUAUCGGAACGUGCCCAGUCGUGGGGGAUAACGUAGCGAAAGUUACGCUAAUACAGCAUACGAUCUAUGGAUGAAAGCGGGGGAUCGCAAGACCUCGCGCGAUUGGAGCGGCCGAAAUCAGAUUAGGUAGUGGGUGGGGUAAAGGCUCACCAAGCCGACGAUCUGUAGCUGGUCUGAGAGGACGACCAGCCACACUGGGACUGAGACACGGCCCAGACUCCUACGGGAGGCAGCAGUGGGGAAUUUUGGACAAUGGGCGAAAGCCUGAUCCAGCCAUGCCGCGUGCAGGAUGAAGGCCUUCGGGUUGUAAACUGCUUUUGUACGGAACGAAAAGGUUUGGCCUAAUAAGCUGAGCUCAUGACGGUACCGUAAGAAUAAGCACCGGCUAACUACGUGCCAGCCGCCGCGGUAA
rnacentral:rRNA from 1 species